rnacentral:rRNA from 1 species
AUGAGUCGUUACCGUGAACUGAGAAACAUAGCUAGUAUGGCCCUAUUCAAAGUAUCAAAAAGCGGGGAGCGUUCGCAGCAGGUGAAAGAUUAUCUCCAAAGUAUCAUCAAUGGGCCCAUCCAGAAUGAUGAUAACACCGAGGAGACAACAUUUGGUCCUAUACCCUCUCACUACUCUGCCGCAAGCCAAGCUUCAGUGGAGAGAGUCCUUGAUCCAAAAAUAGUCGACACAAAAGGUGCUCCAUGCAAGAAGAGAAUGAAGCCAUUUCACGAGACGUUGAGGGAAACGAACGGGCGGAAGAAGAGAACUAGAAGCUGCGGCCAAUGUAAAAGUUCCGAACAUGACAGGCGGAAAUGUCCAGAUUUAGGGAAAUAA